AGUGAACGCUGGCGGUAGGCCUAACACAUGCAAGUCGAACGGCAGCACAGUAAGAGCUUGCCCUUACGGGUGGCGAGUGGCGGACGGGUGAGGAAUACAUCGGAAUCUACUUUUUCGUGGGGGAUAACGUAGGGAAACUUACGCUAAUACCGCAUACGACCUACGGGUGAAAGCAGGGGAUCUUCGUACCUUGCGCGAUUGAAUGAGCCGAUGUCGGAUUAGCUAGUUGGCGGGGUAAAGGCCCACCAAGGCGACGAUCCGUAGCUGGUCUGAGAGGAUGAUCAGCCACACUGGAACUGAGACACGGUCCAGACUCCUACGGGAGGCAGCAGUGGGGAAUAUUGGACAAUGGGCGCAAGCCUGAUCCAGCCAUACCGCGUGGGUGAAGAAGGCCUUCGGGUUGUAAAGCCCUUUUGUUGGGAAAGAAAAGCAGCAGGUUAAUACCCCGCUGUUCUGACGGUACCCAAAGAAUAAGCACCGGCUAACUUCGUG
rnacentral:rRNA from 1 species